AGUGAACGCUGGCGGUAGGCCUAACACAUGCAAGUCGAACGGCAGCACAGUAAGAGCUUGCUCUUACGGGUGGCGAGUGGCGGACGGGUGAGGAAUACAUCGGAAUCUACUUUUUCGUGGGGGAUAACGUAGGGAAACUUACGCUAAUACCGCAUACGACCUACGGGUGAAAGCAGGGGAUCUUCGGACUUUGCGCGAUUGAAUGAGCCGAUGUCGGAUUAGCUAGUUGGCGGGGUAAAGGCCCACCAAGGCGACGAUCCGUAGCUGGUCUGAGAGGAUGAUCAGCCACACUGGAACUGAGACACGGUCCAGACUCCUACGGGAGGCAGCAGUGGGGAAUAUUGGACAAUGGGCGCAAGCCUGAUCCAGCCAUACCGCGUGGGUGAAGAAGGCCUUCGGGUUGUAAAGCCCUUUUGUUGGGAAAGAAAAGCGGCAGGUUAAUACCCCGCUGUUCUGACGGUACCCAAAGAAUAAGCACCGGCUAACUUCGUG
rnacentral:rRNA from 1 species